UGGGGGGAGUAUUGCACAAUGGGGGGAACCCGUGAUGCAGCGACGCCGCGUGGGUGAAGAAGCGCCUCGGCGCGUAAAGCCCUGUCAGCAGGGAAGAAAAUGACGGUACCUGAAGAAGAAGCCCCGGCUAACUACGUGCCAGCAGCC
rnacentral:rRNA from 1 species